GAUGAACGCUGGCGGCGUGCCUAAUACAUGCAAGUCGAGCGAACGGACGAGAAGCUUGCUUUUCUGAUGUUAGCGGCGGACGGGUGAGUAACACGUGGAUAACCUACCUAUAAGACUGGGAUAACUUCGGGAAACCGGAGCUAAUACCGGAUAAUAUUUUGAACCGCAUGGUUCAUAAGUGAAAGACGGUCUUGCUGUCACUUAUAGAUGGAUCCGCGCUGCAUUAGCUAGUUGGUAAGGCAACGGCUUACCAAGGCAACGAUGCAUAGCCGACCUGAGAGGGUGAUCGGCCACACUGGAACUGAGACACGGUCCAGACUCCUACGGGAGGCAGCAGUAGGGAAUCUUCCGCAAUGGGCGAAAGCCUGACGGAGCAACGCCGCGUGAGUGAUGAAGGUCUUCGGAUCGUAAAACUCUGUUAUUAGGGAAGAACAUAUGUGUAAGUAACUGUGCACAUCUUGACGGUACCUAAUCAGAAAGCCACGGCUAACUACGUG
rnacentral:rRNA from 1 species